UACGUAGGGGGCAAGCGUUGUCCGGAUUUAUUGGGCGUAAAGAGCGUGUAGGCGGCUUUACAGGUCCGUUGUGAAAACUCGAGGCUCAACCUCGGGCUUGCAGUGGGUACGGGCAGACUAGAGUGCGGUAGGGGUGACUGGAAUUCCUGGUGUAGCGGUGGAAUGCGCAGAUAUCAGGAGGAACACCAAUAGCGAAGGCAGCUCGCUGGGACGUUACUGACACUGAGGCGCGAAAGCGUGGGGAGCGAACAGG
rnacentral:rRNA from 1 species